rnacentral:lncRNA from 10 species
AAUUGAAUGCUACAAUAGGAUAUCUGGUGCAUUAUUCACUAAUGACAAAUUCCAGGUCAGCACAAAUAAAUUGACGUUUAUGGAUCUUGAGCUAAAAUUGAAAGAUAAGAACACCCUUUUUACAAGGAUUUUAAAUGGACAGGUAUGAUUUUUAAAUAUAAAGUUGUGAAUAUUUGCAAAUGUUUUAUUUUUAAGUAAAAGAAGACACUAGCAGUGUAGGUUUUUAUUGAUAUUUUGCAUCAAAAGACUAUGAUGUAUAAAUUUUUUUAUGAGCAGUCAAGUGUUCACAUUACUAAAAAAUUUAAAGCUAAUUUUUUAGUAAUGACUAAACCUACCUAGUAAAGACUAGGUUUGGAUAGAAUUUACAUAUCUUCAUUAGUUUUUUUUGUUUUUUUUUUUUUAAGACAGGAGUUUCACUCUGUUUCCCAGGCUGGAUUGCAGUGGCUCAAUCUCAGCUCACUGCAACCUCUGCCUCCCAGGCUGAGGCAGGAGGAUGGCUUGAGGCCAGGAGUUCAAGACCAGCGUGUGCAAUACAGUGAGACACCUUCUGUAUUU